rnacentral:sRNA from 1 species
GAAUGUGAGGGCGAUCCGGCUUGCGACAUCGUCACCCCAUUGAUCCCCAAGGUUGAUUUCGCCUGAUCCUGGCUGGCUAGGCGGUUGUCCCCUUCCUCCCUUCACCGCCUCCAUGUGCGUCCCUCCCAAAACUGCGGCGCUCCCUUCGAAAGAGGCCAACCCAUCCCCGCUGACGGAGGACCAGUCUUUGGACAAAGGUAUACGAGUAGUUUGCGCUCCCCUGCUGAAACCUCCAAAUAAGCUCUCAAGUCUGAAAUCAUGUCGCUAUCAUUUGGCUCUGAUUUUUUUU